GCCUGGCUGGCACAGUUGGUAGAGCAUGUGACUCUCAAUCUCAGGGUCAUGAGUUCAAGCCUCAAGUUGGGCA
rfam:Felis catus isolate Cinnamon breed Abyssinian chromosome B3, whole genome shotgun sequence.